AGAGUUUCAUCCUGGCUCAGGAUGAACGCUGGCGGCGUGCCUAACACAUGCAAGUCGAACGAAGCUUGACGGUGGAACUCUUCGGAGGGAAACCUGAUAUGACUUAGUGGCGGACGGGUGAGUAACACGUGAGCAACCUGCCUUUCAGAGGGGGACAACGACUGGAAACGGUCGCUAAUACCGCAUGAUAUGUUCGGAUGGCAUCAUCUGAACAUCAAAGAUUUAUCGCUGAAAGAUGGGCUCGCGUCUGAUUAGAUAGUUGGUGAGGUAACGGCUCACCAAGUCGACGAUCAGUAGCCGGACUGAGAGGUUGAACGGCCACAUUGGGACUGAGAUACGGCCCAGACUCCUACGGGAGGCAGCAGUGGGGAAUAUUGCACAAUGGGGGAAACCCUGAUGCAGCAACGCCGCGUGAAGGAAGACGGUUUUCGGAUUGUAAACUUCUUUUCUUUGUGAAGAAACAAAUGACGGUAGCAAAGGAAUAAGCAUCGGCUAACUACGUGCCAGCAGCCGCGGUAAUACGUAGGAUGCAAGCGUUAUCCGGAUUUACUGGGUGUAAAGGGAGCGCAGGCGGGACUUCAAGUUGGAUGUGAAAUGUCAAGGCUUAACCAUGGCACUGCAUCCAAAACUGUAGUUCUUGAGUGGAGUAGAGGUAAGCGGAAUUCCGAGUGUAGCGGUGAAAUGCGUAGAUAUUCGGAGGAACACCAGUGGCGAAGGCGGCUUACUGGGCUCUAACUGACGCUGAGGCUCGAAAGUGUGGGGAGCAAACAGGAUUAGAUACCCUGGUAGUCCACACUGUAAACGAUCCAGAAAGGUGUGGGGGGGUCUGACCCCUUCCGUGCCGGAGUUAACGCAAUCAGCUAUCCCACCUGGGGAGUACGGUCGCAAGAUUGAAACUCUAAGGAAUUGACGGGGGCCCGCACAAGCAGUGGAUUAUGUGGUUUAAUUUGAAGCAACGCGAAGAACCUUACCAGGUCUUGACAUCCAACUAACGAGAUAGAGAUAUGUUAGGUGCCCUUCGGGGAAAGUUGAGACAGGUGGUGCAUGGUUGUCGUCAGCUCGUGUCGUGAGAUGUUGGGUUAAGUCCCGCAACGAGCGCAACCCCUGUUCUCAGUAGCCAGCACGUAAAGGUGGGAACUCUGAGGAGACUGCCGGGGAUAACCCGGAGGAAGGUGGGGAUGAAGUCAAAUCAUCAUGCCCCUUAUAUCCUGGGCUACACACGUAAUACAAUGGCGGUCAACAGAGGGAUGCAAAGCCGCGAGGCAGAGCGAACCCCUAAAAGCCGUCCCAGUUCGGAUCGUGGGCUGCAACCCGCCCACGUGAAGUCGGAAUCGCUAGUAAUCGCGGAUCAGCAUGCCGCGGUGAAU
rnacentral:rRNA from 1 species